CUAUGACUGUGGCGGAGCCUGAUCCAACUGAGGAGGGUCUCCUGUUUGGCACGUCCUUCGUUAAGGAUAUGGGUGCUUAUGUCAAGACCUUUACGGCUAUUGACAAGGCACAGGCGAACAUGAAGCGAGUGUUCGCGCCUAAGGUUUUCGGAGGGGCCGGGCGUAGCAGGAACCGUCCACCCGGCCGUGGUUUCCGAGGCGCAUUCCGCGCAACCAGAGGUUCCUUCUUUCCCUCGAGAGGAUUUCAGGAACAGAGAGCCCCUCCCUUCUUCCCGGCAAGAGGUCGGGCCUGGGGAUCCAGAUACCCCCGCGGUGGUACCCCCGGCAGACGUCCUUACGGUGAGUACCCUUUCUUUCCCUCACGCUCAAGUUCGGGUGGCGGGGAGACUGGCCUUAUUUUGUCAAGAAUGGGCAAAGAUCACCUCAGAUGCUUGGGUUUUACAAUGUGUAAGGGGUUUUCGUCUGGAGUUUGUUUCCAUGCCUGUCCAGUUUUAUUCCCCCAGAGAACUGUCCCUCCCUCCGGAGCAGGACGAGAUGAUUUCCACGGAAGUGGUGGAGAUGCUGUCCAAGGGCGCUAUAGAGGAGUUGCCGUUCGCCGCCCCAGGCUUUACGAGCAAUUUAUUCCUAGUGCCCAAGAAAGGAGGCGGUGUUCGCCCUGUCAUAAAUCUUCGCCCACUCAACGCUUUUCUACGCUACCAACACUUCCAGAUGGAAGGUAUACACUGCCUCAGAGACCUCCUACGUCAAUCGGACUGGUUGGCCAAGCUGGACCUGAAGGACGCAUACUUUACGGUCCCCAUCGCUUUGGAGUUCCGGGAUUAUCUCCACUUCACCUGGCAUGGGCGUCGUUGGCGCUUCACCUGCCUGCCUUUCGGUCUCUCCUCGGCCCCUUGGUGCUUCACCAAGCUCAUGAAGCCCGUGGUGACCUUCCUCUGAACCCGGGGGGUUCGCCUCAUUAUCUACCUGGACGAUAUCUUGAUCUUAUCCCAGUCACGAGAGGAUCUCCUCAU